rnacentral:lncRNA from 1 species
AGGAUUUGCAGGUCUAUCUCUCUCAAUUUAAUCAGUUUUAAUGCUGAAAAUCAGGCCCACUAAGUACUAAGCAAAUCUGUUCUAUUCAGUCACUCACAAUAAAGGAAAAAUUCCAAUGGUUCACAAACUUUACUCUCAAAUUAAAAAAAACAAAAACAAAAACAGAAAGGGGCAGGAAGGGAGAUGUGGAAUUGUGAAGAUUUUGGUUUUUUUGCACCAAGGAAUGAAUGCUCCUUGGAAAAAAUAAAAAAUAGAAGCAUUCAUUUUCUGCUUGCCUGGAAAUCAUGCCUAGGAGAUAAGAAAUGACCAGCAGCCUUUUCCAGAGUCCUUCUGAGGCUACUACAUGAAAGGAACAUAGGCUUUUGUGAAGGCCUGUUCCUGCUCUUAGGUAAUGGAAGUGGGGGCGGCGGGAGCAAAGAAUAGAAGAGACCUUUCCGCAAGGAUAUGAGCCCGUCUGGUUCCCCUUCCUUGCCUGGACUCACUUCCCUGGGGCUGUCUCUAACAGGCUCCUCCACAGCACUAACUACAAAGGCCAAAACCAAGGUGGACUGUCAUCCCAAAGGCCACUUGUCAGAAGCAGGGAUCCUUUCAAAGUUCUAGGGGAAGAAAUAAAAUCAAAUAAAAGGGACCAGAAGGGAGAAGAAAACAACCACCAAAGAAAGAGAGAAAAACCUCUCCAACAGCUGUGUUUUAUUUUCUGCAUUAAAAUUUGUUAUAGCCUUGACAUGGUUUUAUGAAAUAAAUAAGUAAUAUUCAUCAAGCA